AUUUUCGGGCGCCGCUGGCGGCGUUGCUUAACACAUGCAAGUCGAACGGAAAGGCCCUGCUUUUGUGGGGUGCUCGAGUGGCGAACGGGUGAGUAACACGUGAGUAACCUGCCCUUGACUCUGGGAUAACUUCAGGAAACUGGGGCUAAUACCGGAUAGGAGCUCCUGCUGCAUGGUGGGGGUUGGAAAGUUUCGGCGGUUGGGGACGGACUCGCGGCUUAUCAGCUUGUUGGUGGGGUAGUGGCUUACCAAGGCUUUGACGGGUAGCCGGCCUGAGAGGGUGACCGGCCACAUUGGGACUGAGAUACGGCCCAGACUCCUACGGGAGGCAGCAGUGGGGAAUAUUGCACAAUGGGCGGAAGCCUGAUGCAGCAACGCCGCGUGCGGGAUGACGGCCUUCGGGUUGUAAACCGCUUUCGCCUGUGACGAAACGUGAGUGACGGUAAUGGGUCAAGAAGCACCGGCUAACUACGUGCCAGCAGCCGCGGUGAUACNUAGNGUGCGAGCAUUGUCCNGAUUUAUUGGGCCUNCAGGGCUCNUACGUGGA
rnacentral:rRNA from 1 species